UCCCAUAUGGUCUAGUGGAUAGGAUUCCUGCUUUUUACCCAAGUGGCCCGGGUUCGACUCCCGGUAUUGGAA